rnacentral:rRNA from 1 species
GAUGAACGCUGGCGGCGUGCCUAAUACAUGCAAGUCGAGCGAACAGACGAGGAGCUUGCUCCUCUGACGUUAGCGGCGGGCGGGUGAGUAACACGUGGAUAACCUACCUAUAAGACUGGUAAAACUUCGGGAAACCGGAGCUAAUACCGGAUAAUAUAUUGAACCACAUGGUUCAAUAGUGAAAUACGGUUUUGCUGGCAGUUAUAGAUGGAUCCGCGCCGCAUUAGCUAGUUGGUAAGGUAACGGCUUACCAAGGCAACGAUGCGUAGCCGACCUGAGAGGGUGAUCGGCCACACUGGAACUGAGACACGGUCCAGACUCCUACGGGAGGCAGCAGUAGGGAAUCUUACGCAAUGGGCGAAAGCCUGACGGAGCAACGCCGCGUGAGUGAUGAAGGUCUUCGGAUCGUAAUACUCUGUUAUUAGGGAAGAACAAAUGUGUAAGUAACUAUGCACGUCUUGACGGUACCUAAUCAGAAAGCCACGGCUAACUACGUG